CGUCUGAGGACCCCGUAGAGCAAUCCCUGUCUGGAUAAAGGAGUGAGUGUGUUCUAGACUCAGAAAACAAGGGAGAACCAGAUUAGUCAGUUCAUGGAAAUAAUGCGCCUGACUUUAUGGAAUCAUUGUUUCUCAGAGCUGAAAAAGGCCUCAGAAUAUAGACUGUUACAUCUGGGAGGAACCUUAGAACACAAAAUGUCACAACUAGAAAAGAACUUAGAACUCAAAAUGUUACAACUGGACAAGAAUUUGGAACACAAAAUGUCACAACUGGAAGAGAACUUAGAACACAAAAUGUCACAACUGGAAAAGACCUUAGAACACAAAAUGUCACAACUGGACAAGAACUUAGAACACAAAACGGCACAACUGGAAGAGAACUUAGAACACAAAACGGCACAACUGGAAGAGAAGUGAGAAGAAGGAAUGUCACAACUGAAAAAGAACUUAGAACACAAAAUGUCACAACUGGACAAGAACUUAGAACACAAAAUGUCACAACUAGAAGAGAACUUAGAACACAAAAUGUCACAACUAGAAGAGAACUUAGAACACAAAAUGUCACAACUGGAAAAGACCUUAGAAUACAAAAUGUCACAAAUGGACAAGAACUUAGAACAUAAAAUGUCACAACUGGAAGAGAACUUAGAACACAAAAUGUCACAACUGGAAGAGAAGUGAGAAGAAGGAAUGUCACAACUGAAAAAGAUCUUAGCACAUAGGAUCUCGAAGCUGGAAGAGACUUUAGAGCACAAAAGCCACAGCUGGGAGAGACCUUAAAACAGAGAAGAUCAGAGACCUUAGAACAUUGAAUGUCACAGCUGGGAAAGACCUGAGAACACAGAGCAGAAAGGAAUCUUAGAACCCAGAAUGUCACUGAUGAAAGAGACCUUAAUCAUAGCUGGAAAAAAUCUGCGAACAUAGACCCUCAGCCCUGAGGGGAACCUUAGAACAUAAAUUGUCAGAAAUGGAAAGUGUAUUAGAUCACCAGAUGUCAAAGGUUAAGUCAGGAGAAAGAGGGAUGGCUGAUCUGGGGCCCUUUGCCCACACGGCAGUUCCAGGGAGAACUUGCCAGCUGGGGAAGGGGCCUUCAGAGGUGCAGGCUGGAGGCAGCUAUGGGCCAUGACCUGCAGAUGAUGCUGGCUGGUUGGGGGUCCUUUCCCCAAAUUGUGAAAGCUGAGGCCCAGAGAAAGGAAGGGGCUUGUCUGAGGUUACACAGCAAAUUAGGGGCAGAAUCAGGACCUGGCCCAAGGGCUUCUGACCCCCAGCGCUGGUUUUUCCUAAUACCCCGCAGAGCCACUGGAGGGACGGUUCCCAAGCUGGGUUUGGGAGAUGGGGAGCAGACCCACCUGACUAGGCCCAAGUGAGCAUCUGGUGGAUGGCACACAUCUGGUAAAUUCCCAGCCCCCAAGAGACCAGGUGCACAAGCUAAUCCCAAAGAGGUGAGGGGCCCGAAGCCUGAGCAGGGAACAGACCUGCCAGAUUUCAGAGCCAGAUGCUCCCACCCUAGAGGAAGAAUUUGGACCCAGUUCUCCUGGGUUCCAGCCCUCUCCGCUCCCCCUCUCCCUCCCCCAGUGGCCUGGGUGCCCUGAGCUCGGCUCGGCCUCGGUGCCCCCCAUGGAAUAGUUAUUCCUCAAGACAAAGUUUGGGAAUGUUUGAAAUGGGGAAUCCCCCCUCCCCCCUGUCACCUCGGUGUGUAAGUGUUUUAUUGUUUGCCUGCUGAGGUGUGAAUGAAAUAAUGGGCCUUCUCUGUCACUUAAUCUGUCUUGGGUUGACAAGUCUGCUUAGACCUCGGAGCUGUUCUGUAUAAAUGCUGUCACCCUGCCAUCCCCAAACAGGCAGCUUCCUCUGAGAAACUGUAAGCAGCCCUCCUGGGCACUGAGCUCGGGCUGUCUGCAGCUCAUAAAUCAAAGCUCCCUUCCCAGAACACAGGCAGAGACACAGACAGACAGAGAGAGACACCGAGGGACAGACACAAAGAGAGAGAGACCCAGAGACAGAGACAUAAAGAGAGAUAGAGACACAGAAAGACACCAAGGGACAGACACAAAGACAGAGAGAAGCCGAGACUCAGAGAGACACAAAGACAGAGAGAACCAGAGACACAGAGACAGAGACAGAGAGACACAGACACAGAGAGAGAGAGAGAGACACAGACAGACAGAGACACUGAAGGAUAGACACUAAGACAGAGAGAAGCAGAGACACAGAGAGAGACAGAGAGAGACAGGGGAUGCAGAGAUCAUGCAGCCAAAGUGGGAGAGUCAGGGGGAGGCUGGGUCACAGGGAAGCUCUCUGGAGAUGGGUGUCAUUCUCCAUCCCUUCCUAACCACUCUUUCUGGAGACCAGACUGUCCCACUGACUGACUGUCCUUGGCCCAGGCUCGGGGUUAGUGCCAGGACUCCCCGCCCUCCCCUUACCAUACAUACACUGUCACACACACGUCUCUGAGUGGGACGGCUGCACUCUGCGGCCAGCAGGAGGGAGGCUGAGGAGGCGGCCUCCAGGAGUUCACAUUCCUGGCUUCCACCCCAGACCUGCCAUCUUGGGAGGCCGCAGGGGAGCAAGGGAGACCC
rnacentral:lncRNA from 1 species